rnacentral:lncRNA from 1 species
AAUACAUUUUGCUCACUUGUGACAUUAAAAUUAUGCAGUUAGAAAUCAAUCCAGUUCCUCUCAGUUCCAUUUUACUAAUAAAGCCUGAUUUGAAUUUCUGGGCUGGCUCACGAGGCCAAAAUCUAAGCUUGCCUCUACGGAUGUGCCUCACUCUUUCAACAUUUAAAUGACCUUUACCUCACAGCAAAAUUAUAGAUAAUGAGGGCAAAAUGAUGGCUUUAUUUGACAAAAUUGCUGUUUAUAUGAUUAUGUUAUUCUAUGUAUUUGACAAAAUUGUGUGUCCAUCUGUAUUUUUGCAUUUACUAUAAUAUAAUGACUUCUUAUAACUGUUUCAUAAAACCAUAAUGACAUGUUUCUAUAUCUUCUGCAGAAGGGUCACACACUUAUAAGAAACAAAUUAUGUACAGUGGUAUUAUGAAAGGCCAAAAAAAAGGAGUCGAAAAACUAAGAGAGGGAGAGAGAGACCUUGCAGAGCUCGUUUUAUGUAUAAAGAGAUUAGAUAAAAGCCGUGACAUGUUUUCACAAUUUGUUAUACAAAUAAACAGUCUCAUGUACCAAGUAAUAAAAUGAGCGUUACUGAAC